rnacentral:ncRNA from 2 species
GUCUGGCAAAACGUUCCAGGUGCCCGCAAGGGCAUAAAAGGGAAGUCCGGUGUAAGUCCGGCACGGUCCCGCCACUGUAAUCAGGAAAACGACUUUUCAUAGGCCACUCGGUUGCGAUCGGGGAAGGUGAAGAGUCGGGAGCUUCGUAACAGAAGCUUCGCCUGAAAGUCAGGAGACCUACCUGGAAUCAAUUUGAUUC